AACUCUCAACCCCCUUGUUUUGUAAUGAGACGAGCGUGGGCUUGGAUUAUGGCUGCUGCCGGCGUAACUGUCGACUCGGCUGAAAUAUACGAGCUACCCAUUUCUAAGAAAUAGACGGUUUGACUCGGCGUAAUAAUAUAUUUCGCUGAGGACGUCACAUUCUUAAUCAUUAGUGGUGCUUCUAAUGCGACAUCUAAAUUUAAGC
rnacentral:misc_RNA from 1 species